rnacentral:rRNA from 1 species
CGAGCGAACAGACGAGGAGCUUGCUCCUCUGACGUUAGCGGCGGACGGGUGAGUAACACGCGGAUAACCUACCUAUAAGACUGGGAUAACUUCGGGAAACCGGAGCUAAUACCGGAUAACAUAUUGAACCGCAUGGUUCAAUAGUGAAAGGCGGCUCUGCUGUCACUUAUAGAUGGAUCCGCGCCGUAUUAGCUAGUUGGUAAGGUAACGGCUUACCAAGGCAACGAUACGUAGCCGACCUGAGAGGGUGAUCGGCCACACUGGAACUGAGACACGGUCCAGACUCCUACGGGAGGCAGCAGUAGGGAAUCUUCCGCAAUGGGCGAAAGCCUGACGGAGCAACGCCGCGUGAGUGAUGAAGGUCUUCGGAUCGUAAAACUCUGUUAUCAGGGAAGAACAAAUGUGUAAGUAACUGUGCACAUCUUGACGGUACCUGAUCAGAAAGCCACGGCUAACUACGUGCCAGCAGCCGCGGUAAUACGUAGGUGGCAAGCGUUAUCCGGAAUUAUUGGGCGUAAAGCGCGCGUAGGCGGUUUUUUAAGUCUGAUGUGAAAGCCCACGGCUCAACCGUGGAGGGUCAUUGGAAACUGGAAAACUUGAGUGCAGAAGAGGAAAGUGGAAUUCCAUGUGUAGCGGUGAAAUGCGCAGAGAUAUGGAGGAACACCAGUGGCGAAGGCGACUUUCUGGUCUGUAACUGA